GAUGAACGCUGGCGGCGUGCCUAAUACAUGCAAGUCGAGCGAACAGACGAGGAGCUUGCUCCUCUGACGUUAGCGGCGGACGGGUGAGUAACACGUGGAUAACCUACCUAUCAGACUGGGAUAACUUCGGGAAACCGGAGCUAAUACCGGAUAAUAUAUUGAACCGCAUGGUUCAAUAGUGAAAGACGGUUUUGCUGUCACUUAUCGAUGGAUCCGCGCCGCAUUAGCUAGUUGGUAAGGUAACGGCUUACCAAGGCAACGAUGCGUAGCCGACCUGAGAGGGUGAUCGGCCACAUUGGAACGGAGACACGGUCCAGACUCCUACGGGAGGCAGCAGUAGGGAAUCUUCCGCAAUGGGCGAAAGCCUGACGGAGCAACGCCGCGUGAGUGAUGAAGGUCUUCGGAUCGUAAAACUCUGUUAUUAGUGAAGAACAAAUGUGUAAGUAACUAUGCACGUCUUGACGGUACCUAAUCAGAAAGCCACGGCUAACUACGUG
rnacentral:rRNA from 1 species